rnacentral:rRNA from 1 species
GACGAACGCUGGCGGCGUGCUUAACACAUGCAAGUCGAACGGUAAGGCUCCAGCUUGCUGGGGUACACGAGUGGCGAACGGGUGAGUAACACGUGGGUGACCUGCCCUGCACUUCGGGAUAAGCCUGGGAAACUGGGUCUAAUACCGGAUGGGACCAUGGUGUGGAUACUGUGGUGGAAAGUUUUUUCGGUGUGGGAUGGGCCCGCGGCCUAUCAGCUUGUUGGUGGGGUAAUGGCCUACCAAGGCGGCGACGGGUAGCCGGCCUGAGAGGGUGGACGGCCACAUUGGGACUGAGACACGGCCCAGACUCCUACGGGAGGCAGCAGUGGGGAAUAUUGCACAAUGGGCGGAAGCCUGAUGCAGCGACGCCGCGUGGGGGAUGACGGCCUUCGGGUUGUAAACUCCUUUCACCAUCGACGAAGGGUUUCUGACGGUAGAUGGAGAAGAAGCACCGGCUAACUACGUG